GGAUGCGUGGGUGAUCUGGCUGAGACAUUUGUCACCUCAUUGAUCGCCAGGGUUGAUAUGGCUGGCUGGCUAGGCGGGUGUCCCCUUCCUCCCUCACCUCUCUAUGUACAUCCCUCCCAAAGCUGUGCACUUGGUGGAAGAGGACAACCAACCCCAAUAGAGGAGGACCAUUCUUUGGUCAAGGGUAUACAGAGUAGCUGUGCUCCCCUGUUAGAACCUCCAAAACAAACAAACAAACAGACAAAACUCAGCAAAAUCAAAGACUCAAGUCCUACUUUCUUAGUAUUUACAUUGAAUAUAAAUGAAUUAA
rnacentral:snRNA from 1 species